UACAGAGGUCCCGAGCGUUGUUCGGAUUUACUGGGCGUAAAGGGUGCGUAGGUGGUGGACUAAGUCGGGUGUGAAAUCUCCGGGCUCAACCCGGAGGGUGCGCCCGAAACUGGUCCGCUCGAGGGUGGGAGGGGGGACUGGAAUUCUCGGUGUAGCAGUGAAAUGCGUAGAUAUCGAGAGGAACACCCGUGGCGAAGGCGAGUCCCUGGACCACUCCUGACACUGAGGCACGAAAGCCGGGGGAGCAAACAGG
rnacentral:rRNA from 1 species